UUAAGUUCAGCGGGUAUUCCUACCUGAUCCGAGGUCAAACCGGAAAAAAAUGAAUAUGGUUUGACGGUCGGCCACCGAUCGGGUCACGGAGCGGUCUAGGGGUUGCCCAUACACUCAGGACAGCCGAGGGUCUCGGUGCCGCCACUGCCUUUCGGGCCCGUCCACGCACUCAAGGGGACGAUGGCCCAACACACACGCCG
rnacentral:misc_RNA from 1 species